GGUUGGUCCGAGUGCAGUGGGGUUUACAACUAAUUGAUCACAACCAGUUAUAGAUUUCCUUUGUUCCUUGUCCACUCGCACUGCUUCGCUUAACCAGAAAA
rnacentral:Y_RNA from 1 species